UUUCUAUUUUAUGAGACGGCAUGUUUGACUUGUUAUUUAGAUUUAUAAAUGAUUAUGUUUGAUCUGUCCAGUUGCCUAUUUGUUUUAGAUGCGUCUUAUUUGUAUCUUAAUUCUUUUGAUUUUUGGAUAUUAUAAUUAGCUUUGAAAUUCUUGUUAUUAUCCUUCUUCAUGAAUAUGAAUUGCUGAUCCUUACUUAUUUUGAUUGCAG
rnacentral:misc_RNA from 1 species